AACGAACGCUGGCGGCAUGCCUAACACAUGCAAGUCGAACGAGACCUUCGGGUCUAGUGGCGCACGGGUGCGUAACGCGUGGGAACCUGCCCUUAGGUUCGGAAUAACUCCCCGAAAGGGGUGCUAAUACCGGAUAAUGUCUUCGGACCAAAGAUUUAUUGCCUUUGGAUGGGCCCGCGUUGGAUUAGCUAGUUGGUAGGGUAAAAGCCUACCAAGGCGACGAUCCAUAGCUGGUCUGAGAGGAUGAUCAGCCACACUGGGACUGAGACACGGCCCAGACUCCUACGGGAGGCAGCAGUGGGGAAUAUUGGAAAAUGGGCGAAAGCCUGAUCCAGCAAUGCCGCGUGAGUGAUGAAGGCCUUAGGGUUGUAAAGCUCUUUUACCCGGGAUGAUAAUGACAGUACCGGGAGAAUAAGCUCCGGCUAACUCCGUG
rnacentral:rRNA from 1 species